GCUCGCAAUCACAAAUCCCUUUGUACAUUUAAAUAAACAUUUUGGCACCACUGCAAUAGCCAUUAAAGUUUUUGUUCAUCUGCCACAUCACGACAGACAUCUUAGUUGUGUCCUACACUACCUAUUCAUCUUGCUGCUUUCAGCUAAAAGGCAACCUCUAAUGAGACAGAAGCUACUACAGUAGUUUAGUUGGAGAAUUUGCCAAAUCAAUUAUUGUAGCCUGACUCUUG